rnacentral:sRNA from 17 species
AUGUAUUGCGCGCGCACUCCGGUUCCCUGCGCGCCGUCCACGGCUACCUGAUGGCCGCUCGCUAUGUGUUGUUAGCC